rnacentral:rRNA from 1 species
CACGUAGGGGGCAAGCGUUUGUCCGGAUUUAUUGGGCGUAAAGAGCUCGUAGGUGGUUCGGUAAGUCAGGUGUGAAACCUCCAGGCUCAACCUGGAGACGCCACUUGAUACUGCUGUGACUGGAGUCCGGUAGGGGAGCGUGGAAUUCCUGGUGUAGCGGUGAAAUGCGCAGAUAUCAGGAGGAACACCAGCGGCGAAGGCGGCGCUCUGGGCCGGUACUGACACUGAGGAGCGAAAGCGUGGGUAGCAAACAGG